UGCGUAGGCGGUUUUGUAAGUCAGAUGUGAAAUCCCGGGGCUUAACUUCGGAACUGCAUUUGAUACUGCAAGACUUGAGUAUGGGAGAGGAGAGCGGAAUUCCUGGUGUAGAGGUGAAAUUCGUAGAUAUCAGGAGGAACACCGGUGGCGAAGGCGGCUCUCUGGACCAAUACUGACGCUGAGGCACGAAGGCGUGGGGAGCAAACA
rnacentral:rRNA from 1 species